GAGGGUGUAGCUCAGUGGUAGAGUGUAUGCUUAGCAUGCACAAGGUCCUGGGUUCAAUCCCCAGCACCUUCA
rnacentral:tRNA from 1 species